rnacentral:rRNA from 1 species
UCAAGAAACUUCCACAAUGGGCGAAAGCCUGAUGGAGCGACGUCGCGUGAUGGACGAAGUGCUUCGGCACGUAAACAUCUUUUAUGUGGGAUGAAAUUAUUGACAGUACCACAUGAAUAAGGGGCUCCUAACUCUGUGCCAGCAGGAGCGGUAAUACAGAGGCCCCAAGCGUUAUCCGGAAUCACUGGGCGUAAAGGGUGUCGAGGCGGUUGUAUUAGUCGUUCGUAAAAUCUACGAGCUUAACUUGUAGGCGGCGAACGAAACGGUACGACUUGAGGUUUGGAGAGGUGCGUGGAACUCACGGUGUAGGGGUGAAAUCCGUUGAUAUCGUGGGGAACACCAAAGGCGAAGGCAGCGUACUGGCCAAAAUCUGACGCUCACACACGAAAGCUAGGGUAGCGAAGAGGAUUAGAUACCCAGGUAGUCCCUGAGCGGGCUGGCAAGGCGCAU